rnacentral:rRNA from 1 species
CAAAGUAAGGAGCAAACACUACCGACUAUUAUGGUUCAAGCACGAAAAGAAAGAGGAGAACUCGUCGAGUAGUGACACAAAACCAUGAUUUGUUCUAUAGGUCACGGAGUUCAGACAUGUUCCGAGUAACCGACUAGGACCGCCACAUGAGUCUAGAACCCUGAAACUUUUACUGUGGCUGCCAAUGUAUACGGCCAAGUGGCCGCACCUUACGACCGUGGGACUAGUCUUGUCCCAAGAACCCAACGCAGAGCCGUUGUAACCUGAGCUUCCAGGUAAG